AGAAUCAACGCUGGCGGCGUGCCUAACACAUGCAAGUCGAACGAGAAAGUGGAGCAAUCCAUGAGUAAAGUGGCGCACGGGUGAGUAACACGUGACUAACCUGCCUUUUAGUGGGGGAUAACCUAGGGAAACCUGGGCUAAUACCGCAUAAUACUUACGAGUCAAAGCAGCAAUGCGCUGAAAGAGGGGGUCGCGGUCGAUUAGUUAGUUGGCAGGGUAAUGGCCUACCAAGACUGUGAUCGAUAUCCGGCCUGAGAGGGCGCACGGACACACUGGAACUGAAACACGGUCCAGACUCCUACGGGAGGCAGCAGUGGGGAAUUUUGCGCAAUGGGGGAAACCCUGACGCAGCAACGCCGCGUGGAGGAUGAAGUCCCUUGGGACGUAAACUCCUUUCGAUCGGGACGAUAAUGACGGUACCGGAAGAAGAAGCCCGGCUAACUUCGCGCCAGCAGCCGC
rnacentral:rRNA from 1 species